rnacentral:tRNA from 1 species
CUUUCGCCUGGACAGGAUCCUUGCCCUUUCCGGCGUGGUAGCGGACACUCCCCCGCGCUGCACGGGGGCGGAAGGC